AUUGAACGCUGGCGGCAUGCCUUACACAUGCAAGUCGAACGGCAGCACGGGAGCUUGCUCCUGGUGGCGAGUGGCGAACGGGUGAGUAAUGCAUCGGAACGUGCCCUGAAGUGGGGGAUAACGUAGCGAAAGUUACGCUAAUACCGCAUAUUCUGUGAGCAGGAAAGCAGGGGAUCUUCGGGACCUUGCGCUUUUGGAGCGGUCGAUGUCGGAUUAGCUAGUUGGUGGGUAAAGGCCCACCAAGGCGACGAUCCGUAGCGGGUCUGAGAGGAUGAUCGCCACACUGGAACUGAGACACGGUCCA
rnacentral:rRNA from 1 species